rnacentral:lncRNA from 1 species
GUAGUGUGUGAAUGUGUGGUGUGUGUGGUAUGUGUCGUGUGUGUGGUGUAUGAGUGUGUGGUGUGUGUGUAGGGUGUGUGGUGUGUGAGUGUGUGUGGUGUGUGGUGUGUGUGUGCGGUGUGUGGUGUGUGUGAGUGUGUGAGUGUGUGUGUGGUGUGUGGUGUGUGUACGGUGUGUGGUGUGUGUGUGUGUGUGUGUGCGGUGUGUGGUGAGUGUGUGAGUGUGUGGUGUGUCUGUGAGUGUGUGAUGUGUGGUGUGUGUGUGAGUGUGUGAGUGUGUGGUGUGUCUGUGAGUGUGUGAUGUGUGUGGUGUGUGUGGUGUGUGUGUGCGGCCGAGCUGUCCAGCGGUGAGGCUGUAGUGGUGGCGAAGUACAGGAGAGAUUACGCCGGAAGCCUGCAUGGUUUAGGAUUGUAAACCUUGCUGCCGCUGCUGCUGGUGGUUUGGCUUUGAACUUGAGGAGCGUCCGAGUUC